CCAUAAUAAUAAUUUAUGUAUGAAACAUAUGUGAAUAGCUAGCUAUUUAAUUUAUACACAUUCAUCAUCAGUAACAUAAUUUUGAACCAUUAUUGACUAGAGUAGAAGAAACAUUAAUGAAAUUAAGCUGGAUAUACACAUGGUCAUGGAUCAUAUUUCUUCAUAUUUCUUCAUAUUCGUUCAUAAUUAUAGAGAGACGAGAUUUGAUUAUGCACGAGGGGCAGCAUCAGCAGGAUCAAGUUGGUGGCAUUCAGAUUGAGUGACACGAUUUCUGCAUUUGAGAAUGAAAGCUCGAGCUCGCUCGUCGAUGUCCGGCUUGCCGGGACCCCAGCAGUCCUCGUCGUAGUCACUCGGCCACACCUUGUGGCCCGAGUCAUAGGGGUCGUAGUAGUAUCCUCCUUUCGGCCCCUUCGACGACUUCUUAGAGCCGCCGAAGACGCCGAAGAUUGAUAGAAAACCCUUACCUCCCAUGUAUGAUGAUGAUGAUUUCUUUGGUGGUUUUGGCUAAUGAAGGAUAGAGCACAAGUGCACUAUGCCUUGAAGACAAAAUGAGCCUUGGAUUUGUUCUUUUUUG
rnacentral:lncRNA from 1 species